AUAUGUUGGUUCAAGCUUGUAGUCGUGCCUGGUAGGUAAAUCCGCCAAGCUUAGAUGAGGAGUGAUAACGAGGCUGCUUGCAGCCGAAGUGAGUGAUACCCUGCUUCCAGGAAAAGCCACUAAGCUUCAGCUACACACGACCGUACCGCAAACCGACACUGGUGCGCGAGAUGAGUAUUCUAAGGCGCUUGAGAGAACUCGGGAGAAGGAACUCGGCAAAUUGACACCGUAACUUCGGAAGAAGGUGUGCCUUUAGUAGGUGAAGUCCCUCGCGGAUGGAGCCCAAUGAGGUUGCAAAAAAUCGGUGGCUGCGACUGUUUAUUAAAAACACAGCACUCUGCAAACACGAAAGUGGACGUAUAGGGUGUGACGCCUGCCCGGUGCUGGAAGAUUAAAUGAUGGGGUGCAAGCUCUUGAUUGAAGUCCCAGUAAACGGCGGCCGUAACUAUAACGGUCCUAAGGUAGCGAAAUUCCUUGUCGGGUAAGUUCCGACCUGCACGAAUGGCGUAACGAUGGCCACACUGUCUCCUCCCGAGACUCAGCGAAGUUGAAAUGUUUGUGAUGAUGCAAUCUCCCCGCGGAAAGACGGAAAGACCCCAUGAACCUUUACUGUAGCUUUGUAUUGGACUUUGAACAGAUCUGUGUAGGAUAGGUGGGAGGCUUUGAAGUGAGGAUGCUAGUUCUCAUGGAGCCAACGUUGAAAUACCACCCUGGUGUGUUUGAGGUUCUAACCUAGGUCCAUUAUCUGGAUCGGGGACAGUGCAUGGUAGGCAGUUUGACUGGGGCGGUCUCCUCCCAAAGUGUAACGGAGGAGUUCGAAGGUACGCUAGUUACGGUCGGACAUCGUGACGAUAGUGCAAUGGCAUAAGCGUGCUUAACUGCGAGACUGACAAGUCGAGCAGAUGCGAAAGCAGGACAUAGAGAUCCGGUGGUUCUGUAUGGAAGGGCCAUCGCUCAACGGAUAAAAGGUACUCUGGGGAUAACAGGCUGAUACCGCCCAAGAGUUCAUAUCGACGGCGGUGUUUGGCACCUCGAUGUCGGCUCAUCUCAUCCUGGGGCUGUAGCCGGUCCCAAGGGUAUGGCUGUUCGCCAUUUAAAGAGGUACGUGAGCUGGGUUUAAAACGUCGUGAGACAGUUUGGUCCCUAUCUUCCGUGGGCGCUGCAGAUUUGAGGAAGCCUGCUCCUAGUACGAGAGGACCGGAGUGGACACACCUCUGGUGUAUCGGUUGUCACGCCAGUGGCAUUGCCGAGUAGCUAAGUGUGGAAGAGAUAACCGCUGAAAGCAUCUAAGCGGGAAACUCGUUUCAAG
rnacentral:rRNA from 1 species